rnacentral:rRNA from 1 species
UACGUAGGGGGCAAGCGUUGUCCGGAAUCAUUGGGCGUAAAGAGCGUGUAGGCGGUCCUGUAAGUCCGCUGUGAAAGUCAAGGGCUCAACCCUUGAAUGCCGGUGGAUACUGCAGGACUAGAGUCCGGAAGAGGCGAGUGGAAUUCCUGGUGUAGCGGUGAAAUGCGCAGAUAUCAGGAGGAACACCUAUGGCGAAGGCAGCUCGCUGGGACGUGACUGACGCUGAGACGCGAAAGCGUGGGGAGCAAACAGG